rnacentral:ncRNA from 2 species
AUGAAUCACAAGGGGAGUCCGGCACGGGCUGAGAGGAAGCAGGAUGCGCUUCGACCCUCGAACCUGUAAGUUCAAACUUGCGUAGGGAUGUGAACCGGAUCAAUC